GCUUCUCGGAGAAGGAUGAGCUCAUUGGUGGUGACAAGAGCUGCCCUCUGUCCUUCCUUCUCUUCUCCAAUGCUGGAAGAAGUGGGAUGUGAGUUCUCAAAUGUCACAGAAGCCUACAAAAUGCUGACUCUGGAUGCCACGCAUAACUGGGGCUGGCUCGGAAUGAGCAGACAGGGUAACACCAUCAUCUGCUAAGAAUUCAUUGUUCUGCAGCUUGCCCUCGACACAAUGAUUCAUCUGGAGGAUGUGUUGAAACACACUGUUGGAUCCCUCUCCUCGGGAUUCUGAUGCAACCAGCCUGGAAGGAGCCAGAGAACUGCCUUUCUAAUCAACCCGCUGGCGGUGCUGACACCGCCGGUUCAGAGACCUCACUCUGAGAACCACAGUUCUACAAUGUUUUUUGGUUUUUUUUUUUGCUAUGUAUGCCUUAAUGGUAUCUCUAUAUUCCUAAUAUGUGCACAGUGGAUUAAUAAAAAUGGACCCAUGUAUUACUCA